AGGUAGGGGAAAUUAACCCCAUCCCUGCCAAUUUAAAAAGGGCAGAGCUUUGCUCUGCCACAGAUGGUAAUUCUAGUUAACCAUAUGUAGUUUGCAGCAUGAUAUUCAAUGAGCAAAUAAUUUAAAAGUAAGUUGUUUAUCAUUUAACAAUAGGGUUCGACAAAAUCUAUAUUUAUUCAUGAUUGAAAACUAGUUUAAAUCACUUUCCUGGAAAGUUACUGGAUCCAUGCUGUAGCAUCAUUUCCUUGAUUAUUGUACAUCCCUGCAAGCUUCCUUUUUUUAUUUAACAGGGCCCCUAACACAGUUAUCAUGGCUGAUGGAAAAAGAUGAACAACGAACAUUGCAGCAGACUGGCACAAAUAAAACACAGUGCAAUUCCUCCAGAUGCCUGUGCAUAUUGCUGAUCAUUCUUGCAGUAGCAUUGGUGGCUAGUCUACUUCUAUCAUCCUAUGCAAUAUAUUUAAUGGUGCAAACAACAGAGAAAAUGAAGGAGUUGUCCAGCUCCGCUUUUGAAGAGGCAUACCUGCAAGAAAUCGCAGCAUUCAAAGAUAUCAUUUUAAAAUAUCUUAACCAAUCAACGACUGCAGUAAAUAAAGGGGCUGCGGCUGUUGAAGAAAUUGUCACUCAUAAUGUAACUGCUUAAUUCACAAAACUGUCAGUUAACAUGCAUUUGUAUGUGUGACCAUGUGAUGUAGCAGUGAAAUAGGUUGGUGUCUGCCUUCCAUUACUUUGCUAUGCCACCCUGCAGUGCCUUCAUCUUGCCGACAACAUUAUUUACAGAAAUAAAAGCUUCCUUUCCUUCUCUUUUUAUUAGGAAUUUUUGAUAACUUGCAAGGAAAAAUAUAAUUUCUAUUGAAAGCAGGAUUUACUGCUUUCCCAAGCAAUUGCUUUGACUAAUGCACACAGUUUCCAGUGUGCACGGCUGCAAUAGUGAAUGCAUCUGCAUAGAUUUAGUGCUGGGUGUAGUUGAAAAUUCCAUCAAAUGUGAUGUACAGGCUAAACUCAACUAUGAAAAGCAAUCAGGUCAAUGACCAAAUUGCUUUGCCAGUCAGAGUAAUAAACAACUAUAUCCACAUGCGUUAGUUAGAUACUUUUACAAGCGCACAAGAUAGACAUUUAAUUUGUGUGGCUGUUCAAGUUGGUCAACCAAGAGAAACAUUUUGCAUCACAUUAUAAGACUUACUACUUUGCUCUUGUGGUUUAUGAAAAAUUGUAAAAGUAGAGGUGACACAAUUUUAUGCUGCUAAAGAAACGAGAGCUUAAUAAAGUAUUGUUAUAGUUCAGAAGACACAUUAAUUUGUAGGUUGACUGUUAAAUUCUGAUAAUAAAAUACAAUAAAAAUUCAAUGUGUAUUUCAAAUAUGUGACACUUUAUCUGUGCUUGUGUACCUUGAUUGCGAUCAAUUCUUGUGUAUGGCAAAAAAAUAAAUAAAUAAAUAAACUUUA